UACGGGGGGGGCAAGCGUUGUUCGGAAUUACUGGGCGUAAAGGGCUCGUAGGCGGCCAACUAAGUCGGACGUGAAAUCCCCAGGCUCAACCUGGGAACUGCGUCCGAUACUGGAUGGCUUGAAUCCGGGAGAGGGAUGCAGAAUUCCAGGUGUAGCGGUGAAAUGCGUAGAUAUCUGGAGGAAUACCGGUGGCGAAGGCGGCAUCCUGGACCGGUAUUGACGCUGAUGCGCGAAAGCCAGGGGAGCAAACGGG
rnacentral:rRNA from 1 species